rnacentral:rRNA from 1 species
UAGGGAAUCUUCCGCAAUGGACGCAAGUCUGACGGAGCAACGCCGCGUGAGUGAAGAAGGAUUUCGGUUCGUAAAACUCUGUUGUUAGAGAAGAACAGCGCAUAGAGUAACUGUUAUGCGUGUGACGGUAUCUAACCAGAAAGCCACGGCUAACUACGUGCCAGCAGCCGCGGUAAUACGUAGGUGGCAAGCGUUGUCCGGAUUUAUUGGGCGUAAAGCGAGCGCAGGCGGUCAAUUAAGUCUGAUGUGAAAGCCCCCGGCUCAACCGGGGAGGGUCAUUGGAAACUGGUUGACUUGAGUGGAGAAGAGGAGAGUGGAAUUCCAUGUGUAGCGGUGAAAUGCGUAGAUAUAUGGAGGAACACCAGUGGCGAAGGCGACUCUCUGGUCUGUAACUGACGCUGAGGCUCGAAAGCGUGGGUAGCAAACAGG